CGCCCUGCACUAGGCGGAAGCCCCCAAAGUAUCAGCGCCGCUUCGUGGAGCCUGGCGACUGCUUUGGGAAGUCCUGCUGGCAGGCACUCUGCCCCUGGGGGUGUGCAAAGAGUUGUCCAGUUACCUUGAUCUUCUCACAGCCUCCUCCCCAGGGCACCAGGAGAGACCAGGAUUGGAGGACGGUAAAGAACACACUUCCCAGAGGAUUCUUGGAGGUGGCUUCCUCCAGGCAGUAAAUCUACAGCCCAGGCUCCCUGCAUCUUAUGGCUCCAAUCACUUUGGAUCUCAUCGUCGCCUGCACAUUGCCAUACACAGGGAAGGAGAAGAGAUGGAGAAGGCAAAGACUUUCUGAAAGCCGUGGCUAAAAGCUGGCAUGUGUCACAUCAGCUCACAUUCCAUUGUAGAGACGGGGUUUCACCGUGUUAGCCAGGAUGGUCUUGAUAUCCUGACCUCGUGAUCCGCCCGCCUUGGCUUCCCAAAGUGCUGGGAUUACAGGCGUGAGCCACCGCUCCCGGCCUGGCAGGCAUUCUUGAGGCAAACGGGAAAUGGGUGAACGGGAGGAACAUUGGCAGCACUUGUGGUCUGCACCAAGAACUGAAUCGAAUUUCCAUGUGUUAUUGAAUGUUCACAAAGACCUUGUACAGCGAGUGUUACUACCUCUGGUCAAUGAUUCAACUCAAGGCUCAGAAAAGUCAAGUGUCUUGUCCAGGGACACUUAGUCAGAAGUGAAUCCAAGGUUUAAGCUCAAGUCUGCCUAACUCUGAAUUUCACAGCCUUUUGCUACAUAUGGCGAAUAAUAUAUCCCUGAGCACUAAAGGCAGACUCCAAGGAUCUUGUCUCUGCAAUCAUCAUUCUGGCCAUAAUUUAUGAAAAGCAACCCAAAGUAUGUGAUGUAAUAAAAAGUACUAUCUAUGAGUUUACCCUUCCAAAAAUUGAACUGAAUUCUGAGCUCUAAAUUUGGAAUCAAAAGAACUUUUCUCUGCACUAAUCAUUUGGAACAUCACUUAAAGAAAACAACGAAAAACUGGUGUCCCCUGAGAGAAAGCAAUACAAAACAUUAUGCAUAAAGAAAUCCUUCCAAAAAAUAAACCAAAUCCAGUCAAAUCUCUAGUUUUGACUCCUAGCUUACCGGAAAUACGUGAUGGGAAAAAAAUGAAAUGACACCACUAUGAUUCAAUCAGCCAAAUCCAGCAUAUGCAAAUUUCUACCAGAUAAAUGGUUUAGUUUCUUCCCCAAACAAAUGGCACAAGGAAACGGAGGUAAGAAUGGGAUGCUGUUAUAGAUUUUAAAAGAUUUAAGAAAGUAUAAACUAAAUACACUAUGUGCAUCCUCUCUGAACGUGCUUCAAACAUAUCAAGGGGUCAAUGAGCAGUUUUGAAACAAUAAGGGAAUUUGAACACUGAAUGGUUGUCAGAAGAUAGUAAGAGAUCAUUAUUAAUUUUACUAGACAUAAUGAUGUUCUGAUUUUGUUUUUUUUUUAAAAAAAAAACAGUGUUAUUUCCUUUAUAGAUACAUCAUAUAGUAUUAACUAAUGAAAUGCUUUGAUAUCUGGAACGUUUAAAAAAUAUUCCCGAUGGAGUAAGUGCAAAGAAACAGGUAAGCAAAAUGCUGAUAAUUGCUGAAACACAGGAUGUGUACCUGGGGCUUCAUUUACUAUCUCUUCAUUUUCUAUUUUGAUAUUUGUUGGACAUUCUCAUAAAAAGGAAAGUUAUGUUUUAUUUUCUCAUAAGCUAGUAAUGAAAUAGCCCUACGUAACUGAUAUUGUAGAGACAAGAAUAGGUGUAAUAGAGCUUAAGGUUUUCAUUUAAAAAACUAUCUGUAGACUUCAAUGGAUCUUAGGUGGCAUCCAUGCAAUAACACUCGUGGAACAUGCAGGACAGGUGUGGAGCUCCAUCUUCACACAGUGACAUUUUUUAUGCUUCUGUUUUCCCUAAGAGUGGAGUGAGAGGAUGAUUAUUUUAUAUCAUGGACUUCUUCCCUGCUAUACUUUUUUUAAUUAUUUUACUUUCACUUCUGGGAUACAUGUGCUGAGCAUGCAGGCUUGUUUACAUAGGUAUACAUCUGCCAUGGUGGUUUGCUGCACCUAUCAACCCAUCAUACAGGUUUUAAGCCCUGCAUGCAUUAGGUAUUCGCCCUAAUGCUCUCCCUCGCCUUUCCCCCCACCCCCUGAUAGCCCCCAGUGAGUCAUAUUCCCCUCCCUGUGUCCAUGUGUUCUCAUUGUUCAACUCCCAUUUAUGAGUGAGAAUAUGUGGUGUUUAGUUUUCUGUUCCUGUGUUAGUUUGCUGAGAAUGAUGUUUUCCAGCUUCAUCCAUGUCCCUGAAAAGGACAUGAGCUCAUUCUUUUUUAUGGCUGCAUAGUAUUCCACGGUGUUAUAUGUGCCACAUUUUCUUAAUCCAGUCUGUCAUUGAUGGACAUUUGGGUUGUUUCCAAGUCUUUGCUAUUGUAAAUAGUGCUGCAAUAAACAUAUGUGUGCAUGUGUCUUUGUAGUAGAAUGAUUUAUAAUCCUUUGGGUAUAUGCCCAGUAAUGGGACUGAUGGGUCAAAUGGUAUUUCUGGUUCUAGAUCCUUGAGGAAUUGCCACACUGUCUUCCACAAUGGUUGAACUAAUUUAUACUCCCACCAACAGGGUAAAAGCAUUCCUAUUUCUCCACAUCCUCUCCAGCAUCUGUUGUUUCCAAAUGUUUUAAUGAUUGCCAUUCCACCUGGCGUGAGAUGGUAUCUCAUUGUGGUUUUGAUUUUCAUUUCUCUAAUGACCAGUGAUGAUAAGCUUUUUUUCAUAUGUUUGUUGGCCACAUAAAUGUCUUCUUUUGACUUUUAUGUGGAAACAAAUUUAACUGCACAGAGAGGUGAAAAUUAAUUAAUAACUUUUAAAGUAAUUCCCUAAGUUUCUAAGGAUCUAUAUGUUUCCAUCUGACUUUAUUUUAUUUAAGCUCUUGAUUGAUGCUGCAUUUGGAGCAGGUUCAUGAACAUGAAUAGAGUUAAUCUGGGACAGAUUUCCCUCAUUUGAUUUUUUCACUGUUUCCAUCACAGAACUUAUUUCAUGCUCACCAUGUUUGCAGGCAUUGAGCUUGGUACUGGAGCCACAGAGCUGGAUCAGACAGACUUGUGCAAAUAUUUCAGGUUUUUUUUGUGGGGGGGUCAUAUUUAUAGAUAAAUAACAGUAAAGAGUGACGGGUUCUUAUGAAAAUGCAUACACAGUGAAGUAGAGGGUGAAAAGGAGGGAUGUGUUCUAUGAGGAGGAAGAGUGAUAAGAAAGUGUAAGGGGAUGUGUCUGUGUCUAGACAUAUGUGUGUUCACGUGUGUGCGUGCUUGUGUGUACUGCAUGUGUAUAUGUGUGGCCAUGCACCUGUGUGCAUGUUCAUGUGUGUGUGUGUAUGUGUCUGUGUUGAGGACUAAAUUAAUUGGGCUUAUGGAAGCAGGGAGCCACUGAUAGGUUUAAUUAGAGACUGACAUGAUAUGAUAGUUUAGGUGGAUUUCUCUGGGGGCUGUGUUGAGGGACAGUGGGGAGGAGAGCUAGAAGGAAGAAAAGGACACAUGCAUAACAGAAGCAAUAUCUGUCUAUGGGAUGGUGGAAAGAAUCAGAAAAGACUUAAUAAAACAUGUGACACUUUAACUGAAUCUUGAAAUAGACAAGUGUUGGAGGAGGGAGUUGGACCAGAUACUUCAUGCAAAGGGAAGAAAAGUGCACAAACAAAAUAUGAGAAACAAGGCAGACAGGCAUUUUUUUAAAAUUUUCGCACCCACUGAUAGACCAGUGAUGCAUUCACAUCGUCUGCAUUCAUGAUCAACAAAAGUGCUUUCCUAGAACAUGAACCUCAACCCAAGUGUCGCCUCAAGUAGUGUAUGCAUGAACUCAAGCAUUAAAUUAGAAUUGAUUUUUUAAAAAACUCACACAAACAGAUGUAUUAUUUAAAAAUCUUUAAAGCAGGUUUAAACAGUUUUCAGGAUUAAAAGCAGCCACUAUUAGAAAGAACAAAAAUACAUUUGACAUAAAUAUAAGGAGCCUCAAUAGAACCUCCUGUACCCAGUCAUUGUCAAUGCCACAUCCAUUCAUUCACCAGCCCUUAUAUCAAUGCUUGCUGGGCUCACUUACCACGAUCAGCACGUGCAUGUCCUUAUCUGAAAGCUUGCCACUCAAAUGUGCUCAGUCUUACCUGUGUGGCUGGGAGUGUUGGGGAUUUAAUGUCAAGGGAAAGAAUCUUCCAUCAAUGAAUGAUGAAAGUUAGUUUUCACAACUUCCGGUCCCCUUGGCCCUCAUCAAAGGGCUCCAGGUGAGGUUUGGGCUCCUUGCUAUCCUCCGAGUUUCCACGGUAGUUUUAAGCACCAUUGCCCGUGGUAAUGGCUGACAUUGAUACUGCACUUUUUUUUUAUUUAAGAUGGAGUUCCCCUCUGCCACCCAGACUGGAGUACAGUGGCGCGAUCCUGGCCAUCGCAACCUCCGCCUCCCAGAUCCCUCCUACAACACAUGAGAAUUGUGGGUGCUACAAUUCAAGAUGAGAUUUGAGUGGGGACAAAGUCAAACCAUAUCAUUAGAUAGGACACUGGAGAAAGGCAAGAAAGAAAAGACAUCUGAAGAAUGAAGGGAGCCAAAGAAAUGCCAACAUUUUGCUUUUUGAAGAAAAGCUAAAUUAAAGUCAAAAUGGAUUUAUCAAUUUCCUUGGGUUCGUGAAUGUACAGAACUUUAUUAAGGUAAGUCAAAACUUCUCUUUUUAUACUUAACCCAACUCAAAUUGGCUUAUGUAGGGGAAACAAGAAAUCAAAACCCAAAGGAACAUGCCAGUUCAGGAAUAUACAGUUAGCUAAGCUUCUUACUGAACAAAUAAAAUCACAAAGCAUGUAUGCAGAUAGACCACAAGUGACUAUAGUGAGGUAGUUUAUUUCAGCUCUAUUUAUCUGGAAUUAAUGCUACACCAUCUGACAUAUUAAGCAGUUAUGCAUCAGGUAUCAGUAGUUACAUCUUCCAGUGCCUCUUACAGUUGCCCCUGAUGGUAUAUCUACUCGAAAGUAUGUAAGUGCACUCACAUUCUUCAACAUUUCCUCAUUAAAGCCAGAUGGAAUUGGGCUUCUUAUACUUGCUAUUCAUUCAUUUAAUAUUAUUAGAGUGUCUACCAUGUAGUAGGCAUUUUCUGUAAAUGCUGGGGAUAUCUUGAUAACAAAGACAAAACCUUUCCCCACAUAGAUCUUAAAUUUUAGUGCGAAGAGAAAGACAAUGACUAUUUUGAAGUUACGAAGGGGAUUUGCUGAUUUGAAUGCCUACUUAGGAGAUUCAGAAGUGGUUGGAUUUAGGUGCUUAGAUUAAGUCAUCAGGAAUUUCCACCUUCUACCCAUAACAGUGAGCAUCUGAAACUUACAAAACAAUAUUUCCUAUUUUACUUCAUUUUAUUUUAGAGACAGGGUCUUGCCUGUUGCUCAGUCUGGAAUGCAGUGGCACAAUCAUAGCUCACUGCAGCCUCAAUUUCCUGGGCUCAAGGGAUCCUCCCAAAGUGCUGGGAUUACAGGUAUAAGCCACCAUGCCCGGCCAAGAUACUCUAUUUUUAAUUUACAGUUUAUAUCAAGACACUGAGCCAGGGGAAUUUGAAGUCACCCAUCCAGUGGUCUUAGCAUCUUUGCUCACACACUGAAUGACUUGAUGUAAAUGACUGAAUCAGACUUGUUUGCUUAUAGCUGACACCACCGAGCAAACAUAUUCUCUCUUUCUCUGGGACAACACCUGAUAUGGUCUGGCUCUGUGUCCCCACCCACAUCUCAUCUUAAAUUGUAAUCCAAAUUGUAAUCCCCACAUGUUGGGGGAGGGACCUCAUGGGAAGUGAUUGGAUCAUGGUGGUGGUUCCCCCUGUGCUAUUCUCGUGAAAGUGAGUGAGUUCUCAUGAGAUCUGAUGGUUUUAUAAGGGGCUCUUCCCCCUUCAUUUUGCACUUCUGUCUCCUGCUGCCUUGUGAAGAAGGACAUGUUUGCUUCCCCUUCCACCAUGAUUGUAAGUUUCCUGAGGCCUCCCCAGCCAUGCCAAACUGUGAGUUAAUUAAACCUCUUUCCUUUAUAAAUUAUCCAGUCUCGGGUAUUUCUUUAUAGCAGCAUGAAAAUGGACUAAUACAGCACCUAUCUCCCAGUAUUGUAUUUUCACAAUGGAAGUUUUAAUCCAGGGAUGUCUAAUCUUGUGGCUUCCUAGGCCACACUGGAAGAAGAAUUGUCUUGGGCCACACAUAAAAUACACUAACACUAAUGAUAGCUGAGAAGCUAAAGAAAAAUCACAAAUAAAUCUUACAAUGUUUCAAGAAAGUUUACGAAUUUGUAUUGGGCUAUCCUGGGCUGCGUGCAGCCAUGGGCUAUGGGUUGGACAAGCUUGGUUUAAUCCAUAGAUGGAGCAUUCUACACAGCUCCCUUAAAGAUGUUCCAGAAGUGCUGACUCUGUGUCAGGCACCAUGUUCACCACUUAGAUGUUCGUUUAAUCCUUACAAAAGAGCCAUGGAGCAUGGACUGUUACUGUGGCAGAUGUGUUAGCCUCCUGUGGUUGCCAUAACAAAAUACUACAAACUGCGUGGCUUAAAACACCAGGAAUUUAUUCUCACUGUUCUAAAAGACGGAAGUCCGAAAUCCAGGAGUCAACAGGGCUGUGCUCCUUUUUGAGGCUCUAGGGAAGAAUACUUCCUCCCCUCUUCCAGCUUCUGCUGGCCACAGGUGUUCCUCGGCUUGUGGCCACAUCACUCCAAUUGCUGCCUCCAUCCCACAUAGCCUUCUUCCCUAUGUGUGUGUUCUCACAUGGUCUUUGUAUAAGGAUAUCAGUUAUGGGAUUUAGUUCCUACCAUAAUCCAUCAUGAACUCUACUGCACUAAUUACGUCUACAAAGGCCUUAUUGCCAAAUAAGGUCACAUUCUGGGGUUUCAGGUGAAUAUAAAUUUUGGAAGGACACUAUUCAACCCAGUACAACAAGUAAAAUUUAAAAAGGCACCCUUUUACCUUGGCAUGUUAUCUCACUUGAUUUUUAUAACAGCCCUGUAGAUUAAACAGAUAAUAUGUUAUAUUCCCACUUCUAGAUAUCAUCACCCAUUAUUUGAGAGAAUGGAAAUGAAGUUCAGGGCUGUUAACACUCCUGCCACUGAAACAUCCCAGGCCAGUGACCUUUUCAUGUCUGACCUAACAGGUGGUUUCCAACCACAGUUACUUGUGACAUCAUUCCAUCACUCCCCAUACACAUUCCCUGUAGAUCAACUUAUCUGGCCCUACAAUUAUAGUUACAGGGAAUUUUACAUUCUUCAUCUUCCACAGGCAACUGAAUCUUCUGGGACAAAAAGCAUAUGUUCUCCCAUAGUAAUAAAAUUUCCCUUUUUUAGCCUGGCAUGUGACUGCCAAUAAUAACACUUCCCAGACUCUCAGGUGUCCACGUCUAUCCAAAGGGAAAUAUAGUCAGUGAUAACUUCCAGACAUAGAUGAAACAUGCCACACCUUAUAGUCACUUUAUGGGGUUCAUUCUCUCUUCCCAUAGACUGUCAUGCUGUCAUCAUGGCUGGAUCUGAUACGGCCACCGUGGACCUUGAGGUGACCUCGGGAAUGGAGACAGUGCAUGGGAGAGAAUCACAUUGGAAGGGGCCUGGGUUUCUGAAGACCCUGUAAGACAGAUCUCCUUGCAGCCCUGACUGCCCACAUUAGGGCUUUUAUGUUAGGGUGAAGUUACCUUGCAUUGUCAUAUAAGCAAUUGCUAUUUGUGGUGUCUUGCAAAUAAACCUAUUCUGAUCUAGUAUGUUUCCUAAAAAACAAAAGUUUGAACCCAGCUCUUUACGUGUUACAUGUUCUGAAUACAAAAAUAAGACCCAGUUUCUGCCCCCUAGCAGGACCCAAAACCCCUCAGUGAAGGCAUACACCAUAGGAAUAAUCUCACAAGUACUUU
rnacentral:lncRNA from 10 species